rnacentral:misc_RNA from 1 species
UCCGGAUUAACUCCGGCAGUUUCCUCAGAGUUCUCAGCAUUACCUGUUAGCAACAGAGGAUGAGGGUUGCGCUCGUUGCGGGACUUAACCCAACAUCUCACGACACGAGCUGACGACAGCCAUGCAGCACCUGUGCACCUCCCACCCGAAGUGAAGGGAUAAAUCUCUCUAUCCCAUAGAGGGCAUGUCAAGGCCUGGUAAGGUUCUUCGCGUUGCCUCGAAUUAAACCACAUGUUCCACCGCUUGUGCGGGUCCCCGUCAAUUUCUUUGAGUUUUAAUCUUGCGACCGUACUCCCCAGGCGGGAUGCUUAACGCGUUAACUACGCCACUGAAACCUAAAGGUCCCAACGGCUAGCAUCCAUCGUUUACGGCGUGGACUAC